UGAAUAGUUCUCAGGAAGACCCUGAAUUAGC
rnacentral:piRNA from 1 species